AGUGAACGCUGGCGGUAGGCCUAACACAUGCGAGUCGAACGGCAGCACAGUAAGAGCUUGCUCUUACGGGUGGCGAGUGGCGGACGGGUGAGGAAUACAUCGGAAUCUACUUUUUCGUGGGGGAUAACGUAGGGAAACUUACGCUAAUACCGCAUACGACCUACGGGUGAAAGCAGGGGAUCUUCGGACCUUGCGCGAUUGAAUGAGCCGAUGUCGGAUUAGCUAGUUGGCGGGGUAAAGGCCCACCAAGGCGACGAUCCGUAGCUGGUCUGAGAGGAUGAUCAGCCACACUGGAACUGAGACACGGUCCAGACUCCUACGGGAGGCAGCAGUGGGGAAUAUUGGACAAUGGGCGCAAGCCUGAUCCAGCCAUACCGCGUGGGUGAAGAAGGCCUUCGGGUUGUAAAGCCCUUUUGUUGGGAAAGAAAAGCAGCAGGUUAAUACCCCGCUGUUCUGACGGUACCCAAAGAAUAAGCACCGGCUAACUUCGUA
rnacentral:rRNA from 1 species